rnacentral:rRNA from 1 species
AGGAGAGUUUGAUCCUGGCUCAGAACGAACGCUGGCGGCAGGCUUAACACAUGCAAGUCGAACGAGAAGGUACCUUCGGGUACUGGACAGUGGCGCACGGGUGAGUAACGCGUGGGAAUCUACCAUGGAGUGGGGGAUAACAGUUGGAAACGACUGCUAAUACCGCAUACGCCCUACGGGGGAAAGAUUUAUUGCUCUAUGAUGAGCCCGCGUUAGAUUAGGUAGUUGGUGGGGUAAUGGCCUACCAAGCCUACGAUCUAUAGCUGGUCUGAGAGGAUGAUCAGCCACACUGGGACUGAGACACGGCCCAGACUCCUACGGGAGGCAGCAGUGGGGAAUAUUGGACAAUGGGCGCAAGCCUGAUCCAGCCAUGCCGCGUGAGUGAAGAAGGCCUUAGGGUUGUAAAACUCUUUCAACUGUGAGGAUGAUGACAGUAGCAGUAGAAGAAGCACCGGCUAACUUCGUGCCAGCAGCCGCGGUAAUACGAAGGGUGCGAGCGUUGUUCGGAAUUACUGGGCGUAAAGGGCGUGUAGGCGGAUUGGCAAGAUAGAGGUGAAAGGCCUGGGCUCAACCUGGGAACUGCCUUUAUAACUUCCAGUCUAGAGAUCGAGAGAGGAUAGCGG